rnacentral:rRNA from 1 species
UACGUAGGGGGCUAGCGUUGUCCGGAAUCAUUGGGCGUAAAGAGCGUGUAGGCGGUCCGGUAAGUCCGCUGUGAAAGUCGGGGGCUCAACCCUCGAAUGCCGGUGGAUACUGUCGGGCUAGAGUGCGGAAGAGGCGAGUGGAAUUCCUGGUGUAGCGGUGAAAUGCGCAGAUAUCAGGAGGAACACCGGUGGCGAAGGCGGAUCUCUGGGCCAUUACUGACGCUGGAGGAGCGAAAGCCGUGGG